rnacentral:rRNA from 1 species
AAUGAACGCUGGCGGCAGGCCUAACACAUGCAAGUCGAGCGGAUGAAGGGAGCUUGCUCCUGGAUUCAGCGGCGGACGGGUGGGUAAUGCCUAGGAAUCUGCCUGGUAGUGGGGGAUAACGUCCGGAAACGGGCGCUAAUAUCGCAUACGUCCUGAGGGAGAAAGUGGGGGAUCUUCGGACCUCACGCUAUCUGCUGAGCCUAGGUCGGAUUAGCUAGUUGGUGGGGUAAAGGCCUACCAAGGCGACGAUCCGUAACUGGUCUGAGAGGACGAUCAGUCACACUGGAACUGAGACACGGUCCAGACUCCUACGGGAGGCAGCAGUGGGGAAUAUUGGACAAUGGGCGAAAGCCUGAUCCAGCCAUGCCGCGUGUGUGAAGAAGGUCUUCGGAUUGUAAAGCACUUUAAGUUGGGAGGAAGGACAGUAAGUUUAUACCUUGCUGUUUUGACGUUACCAACAGAAUAAGCACCGGCUAACUUCGUG